UUACUAAGAGCUGAAAUCACUGAGUGUUGUGUUAACGGAAGAUAUAUUGCAGAGCAGUUUGUGGGGACAGCUGGAGAGGCUCAUGGAACGGCGAGCAGAGCAGAGCGGCUCUUGGAGCGAAGCAGUUCAUGGGGAUGGCUGGAGCAGCUCAUAGGGGCAGCUGGCAGAGUGGAGCGAUUCGUGGGAUGGCUGGUGGAGCGGAGCGGAGCCCCAUAGAGAGCUCAUGUGACGGCUGCCCUCUUGACCAGCAUACCAAGGACUGAAGCAGGGGCUUCCAGAGCUCAAAGCAUAAGCUGCUACAUCCUGAGCAAAAGAGCCAAGCUCCAUGAUCAGCUUUGAGGGCAACGUGGAAUACACACUCACCAGUAGGUUAUACUCGCACACAGAACAUGGCAUCAGAAGUGAGUCAGCUCCUGAAGGACUCCUGUCUCAUUCGGUGUCCAGGAUGGAUCUGCUCUGGGGAUGAAUCAGUGUUGUGUAGUAAAGCAGACUGUUGACUGUAAGAUCCCUGCCUUAUUUGUUGCAGAAGUAGGAAGGUGUGUGAGGAAUGAGGCAGGGGCUGGCAGAAAGAGAAAGGAUGGUCUCCUGGUUAAGGCAGUUGAAUGCUGCCCUGAAGAACUGGAUUCUAUCCUUGCCUAUGCCACAGAGUUCCCACGUGAUGCUAGGCAAGUCACUUAAAAGUCGCAGCAUUACAGAGGUGGUUACAAAUUGUGUUCCUCAUUUGUCUGGGUGCCUGACUUGAGACCCAAGAGUCUGAUAUGCAGAAUGCUUGAGCACUCACAACUGCAAUUGAAGUCAAUGUGCUUUGAACAUAUAAAAUAUUAAGUACUCUGAAAAAUCAGGUCCUAGGCACCUCAAAUUGAACAUCCAAAAUGAGUGGCUACUUCUGACCUUAAUUUCUCUGUGCCUCACCUCCCCAUCUGUAAAAUAGGGAUAAUAGCAGCCCUGCACCACACUGGGGUGUUGCAAAGAUAAAUUCAUAAAUGUUUGGGAAGCAUUCAGAGAUUAUCGUGAUGAGCACCAUAUAGUAGACACAUAAGGAAAACAAAAGUGGAGCAGACAAUGCACAGUGGCAUCCCUGCAGCAAAGCUGAUAAAAAGUUUACCAAGACAUAUUUUGAAGGACUGGGAUAUCUUCUAGGCACGUUGCAUCUGGAAAUAGAUAAAAGAAUGCAGCUAGUCCAACACGUGCCUCACAAGAGUGCCCAUUGCCUUAUGAGAAAAAAUAAUGGGAGCAAUAAAGCAAAUGGGAAAAGAAGGCAUCAUGGCUAACGUCACAGAGUCUGCAAGCUGGAUAAGCAACAUGGUAGCCAGUGAGAAGCCAGGCAAGCUGCACAUUUUUGUAGACCAAGCAAUUUAAAGAAAGCACUAAAAAGAGAGCUCACUACCAAGUGCCUACAACUGAAGGAAUAUUACCUGACUUGGCAAAAGCAAAAAUAUUCUCAGUACUUGAUGCCAAAGACUGAUAUUGGCAAGUGCUUCUGGAUAAGGAAAGCAGCUACUUCACCACAUUCUGGACACCAGCAGGUAGAUACUGAUGGUUGAGAAUGCUGUUUGGACUCAAACCUGUGGUAGAAAUAUAUCAAUACUGCCAGCUAAACAUACUAGCAGGACUUGAAGGGAACAGCAUCAUAGAUGAUGACAUUGUCGUGUAUAGAGACUGUGACAGCAUGGCAGAAGCUUUGGCAGAUUACAAGCACAACCUCAUCUGCCUGCUAGAAAGAGCCAAGGAAGUACAUCUAAAAAUAAAUAAGAGAUGGGACUGGGAGAAUCACUCCUACAAAAGAGAGAGCUGGUAGCUUUGUGUCAAGGUCCCUGUUACCAACAGAACAAAGAUAUGCUCAUAUUUAAAAGGAAUGUCUUGUAGCUGUGUUUGUAUGUGAAAAAUUCGACGAGUAUGUUCAAGGAUGGGAAGCCAUUCAAGUAGAAAGUGACCAUUAACUACUAGAUAACAUUUUUUAAAAGCCACUGCUUGCUAGUGGCCCUAAACUGCCUUCAGCCCAUGCUACUAAAACUGCAGUUUUAACUUAUACAUAUGCUACAAGAAAGAGACUGAGAUGUACUUAACUGACUUCUUAUCCAGAACAGACUUUUGUAGCAUAAAAAUAUGGCAACUGAACAAGAAUCAGACGCUCAACCUGAUAGAAAUAUGGAAAACACAGAAAGACAGAGAAAGCAUCAACCAAGCCAGUUAUGUGCCAGUUUUAAGAAUCUGAGAACAAACUAGACAAGACAGAAAUUUACAAGUGUUCACAUCCAUCUUUCCGUCAGGAUGGCCAUCCACCAGGGGAGAAACCACACCCACUUCUUAAGAAUACUGGCCCUAUUGAGACAAAUUGAGCAUCCCAGACACCAUCAUAUAUAAAAGCAGUUAAAUCAUAACACCCAGAUCAUUAACAACAGAAAUUCUUUCAAGAAUACAUCAGAGCCAGGACCGGCUCCAAGCACCAGCGAAGCAAGCAGGUGCCUGGGGUGGCAAAUGUAAAGGGGUGGCAGGACAUCGGGCUCUGGGGCGGCAAGCCGCCCUCGGCGGCAGUGGGAAUUUGGCAGCUGCUCUGUCACAGCGCAUUUAGCGCUCGGCGGCAAUUCGACGGUGGGGACACAACACUUCUUCGGUCACUGGCGGCAAUUCGGUGGCCGCACCAUCACUCCACCUACAUGUUCAGUGGGCAGGAUUCCACCUCCCCAUUUGGCAGCAAGUUUGGGGAUUUUUUUUGCCACUUGGGGCAGCAAAAAUGCUGGAGCCAGCCCUGAUCAGAGCCAUUCUGAAUAGAAGCCUGUAUCUGGAAAGCCAGAGACUCUGUAUACUGACCAGAUUUGACCAAGUUAUCAGAGACCUGGUAAGCAGUUGAGAUAUCUGUGUGUAGAUCAAGCAGCCAAAAGAGAAUGAAAAUACACAGUAUUCCCAAUAGACCUUGGAGCAAAGUAGGAAUGGAUCUUUUCAUGCAAACCACACAAACUGCAUCAUUAUUGUAGACUACUUUUCAGAAUUCUGGGAACUAGACCAAUUAUUAGACACUACCACAGCAAUCAUCAUAGAAAAAGCAAUGAAGUAUUGCAGCAGGCAUGGUGUCCCAAACUGUGUAGCUUGAGACAACAGAUCCCACUUCACUCGCAGUGAGUUUGUGUAAUUUACCCAGGAAUAGAAUUUCAGUCAAAUCAUAUCAUCACCAUACCACAGCCAGUGACAUGUCAACAUCAAAUUGGUGUUUUAAAAUUGCUAAAGCUAUUAAAUAAAGCUGCAAAAAGCAAAGACAAGAAAACAUUUCUCACUACUAUCACUGGUUGAGUAUCUAGGAGUACAGUAGGACACCAUGGCUAUAUGCCACCCUCAUAAUCAGUGGAUGAGAUAAGUCUUCAGCCAGCAUUUCACAAUGUUUCCCCCUUACCACCAUCAUCACUUGGGUUGAGUUAUGGCAAUUUGCUCUUUAUUCACAUGUUUUACUUAUUCAGGUAAAUGUGGUGAUGGCUCUGUCCUCCUUUGUCUAAAGAUGUAGACUGGUUCUUGUCAAUGUUUUCCUGGCACUGAAGCCCAUAAUGUCUCAGGACUUGCCCGAGAGGUUUGACAUAUAUAUUGAAAACUACUCAUUUCCAAAACACUUUGACACUUUCAGGCAGGAACCCCAAAAGGACCCAUUCUGUCAACAGCUUGCAAAAGUAACCCUAUAUGGAAAAUCAACAGAAAAAAAGCCCAGAUGUCUUCCAACAUAAAAAUUCAGUGGAACUAUCAAGAUGAAAUUCAUGCAUAUGAUGGGAUUCUAUACAAAGGACAUUGGGUCAUAAUAGCACAGUGUGAUGCUGAAAAUAAUGGCUAAGCAUAACUCACAGUGCUCAUCUGAAUACAGAAUAGUGUUAAAACAGAGCCAGACUUAUCUUAUACUGAUCAGAUAUGAUGCUCUCAUUAAAAAUAAGGUAUCCAAGUUUGAAAUCUACAGUAAACACAGAAGUUAGAAUGGAAAAGAACCACAGAAACCACAUGAGAAUCAUGCUUGCCCUUGGUUCAAGAUUGGUGCAGAGCUAUUAGAAUUAAAAAGGAAAGAUUAACUCUUAUUAUUGGACCACUACUCAUUUUUUUUCAAAUUGAGCUGUUGCACAACACAUCAAGUAAAAUUAAAUUCAAUCAAUAUCUAUCAUCACAAGUCAAAAAGAAUACUUGCUUUGUUUAAUACGAAGAAAUUAUGAGAAACUUUCUGGUAAGGGCAGUUGUUUUGUAAGCAGGUGACAUAAGGACUGAUUCGAGACACAUACAUGACUUCUCUGCUGCUCACACAAUGAGUCAUAAGGUAGUCUCCCAGCAGUUAAGGGCUGAGGAGAGAGAGAAAUUACAACCUGUUCUGCACUUCAGUCUCAGACCCUGCACUUGAGGCAGCAAGCCCCAAACACCUUCCUGAGACCACUUCUUCUUUUGUGGUAAAACAAAAUUUCUGCUUCUCUCUUCCUUCCUCCUUCUCUGGGACAGAACAAGAGUAAAGUGGGCUGGAAACAGCCACAGUCUUUAAAAUGCUUCCUCUUCUACACAGGAGAAGAUAGAGCUUUUAAACUAGCAACAACAACACAGUCUCAAAACAGAGAUCCUGUCUUUACUGGGAUUUUUUUGCACUGCUGUAGCUUUGCUGAUAUAGCUCUACUAAUGCAAAUGUGGUUUGCCCUAGUGUAGCUUACUCCAGUAAGCUCCCAGAGUUAGUUGAACAGGGCAAGCUGCAUCUUACCCCAAUAUAGUGUGUCUCCAUUAAUUACACCAGUGUACUUUUCCCUUGUCUAGAUAAGUCUGCAGUCUUUAAACUAAACAGACUUAUCCUGAAGUUAGUUGUGUCAUCUUUCUGAGGAGCCAACCAUCUCCAGUCCAGUCACUAGGAUGCUUAACUACUCCCAGCUCCUUGCUUCCUGAGCAUGAUCUUCAGAAAACGAUUACCCUCCUUUCAUGAAUGCUGUGAUAUGCAGUGAAACAGUUAACAAUCUUGACAUUUAUAUUCUGGAUAGGCUUCAGAGUGAACAGCCCAUUUGUUUCUCAGAGCUUCAAGCUUCUUAGUUGUCAUCGCAGUGUCAAUUUACAAUCAGUUCACAUUUUUUAAGAGUAUCUUCACAAGCAUAAGGGCUUAUGGUAAAUGGAUUUUGCCAGCGGAGAGCCAACAGCCCUUAAUGUUUUAAAAAAGGAAUGCUUAGACUGUGGAUCACAAGAUGGCAGCCACCAGAGCAGUUCUGCUUGUGUACUAAGGCCUUUGUAUGAAAAAUCCUUAUUAUACUUUGUGACAGGGACCAUCUUUCUGUUCUAUGUUUAUAUAAUGCCCAGCACAAUGGCAUCCUGGAGGGCUCCUACGAGCUAUUACAAUAAAUAUAUAUAUUUUUAAAAGUUGUACAUAUCCACUAAUCCUCUUUUUGAAUUGAUAAUCAGUUUUGUUUUCCUUUCCCCCACAUCUUACAUUAAGUGAAUAGACUAAUGACUCAGCAAAUUUCAUUUUAAAAAAAUAAGUCAUUUUUGAAUUAUCAGGGUGCAAAAAGGUAUGGAAAUUAUUAAACAUCUGUUUUAUUAUUUAUACAGUACCAUAAGUGUACAUAGUGCUUUCCAGAGAAGUACGAAAGACAUGUUCCUGACCCCAAGGAUCUUACAGUUUAAUUCAGACAUGCCACUGUGGGAGCUAGGUCACAGUGUAUGGGAUGGACAAAGGACACAGAAGUGAUAGAUCAUGAGCUUUGCUUAUGCUGCAUAUACUUCUGAGUUCCUUUUUUGGGAGUGGGACCUCAUUUUUGGUUUUUAUUUACAUCUCAAGUCAUAAACUCCUACAAACAGGAGGAUUGUAAUGAAAAGAUUGAUGGAUUCUUAGUUCUAGUAAAACAAAACCUGUCAGUAAAAUUCUUAGCCAGCUUAUAAGGGAGAAGUAGGGGAAAUAUUUCAUUAAUUUUUAUUUCCACAAUUUGUGUAACAUUCAUCUUCAGGAAGUAUAAGUUACACAAACACACACAGUUGUCCACCUAAAAUUUAGUCAUUUUGAAACUCACAUGCUGCUAUGUUACUGCCACAAAUAUAGAAGAAUAAUGUUGGCAGAGUGUCAGUGGGUAAUAUAAGAUAUGUUGAGCGCAAACAAGGAAGGCAAGUAAUCAAAGUGUUUAUGUGACUUGAGUGAAGGGGGGGGAAAUGGCAAUUUCAUUUCAAAUACACCUAGAACUUUCUCAUUAGGCCAUGAAACUCACAGGUAUUAAUCAUGAAAAUAAAUGUUCCUUGACCUUAGGUACAACACAGUUCUUACACAAGAGAAAUGACCAAUACAACUCUUUCUCUCAUCAAAUUACUGAAGAUGAAAUGCAUUUUAAAACAAUAUCCUAGGUAGAUUAUACAUUUAGAAGAGACUUUUGUAAGGACCCCAUUUAUUAUUUUGAAAAGCAAUGCAAGUUACUGCCAAUAAUUAAGCACAUAAGUUCAUGUCUCACUUAUUUUAUAGGCUUUGGA